CAGCCGCCGCGGGAAUACGUAGGUGGCAAGCGUUGUCCGGAAUUAUUGGGCGUAAAGGGCUCGCAGGCGGUUUCUUAAGUCUGAUGUGAAAGCCCCCGGCUCAACCGGGGAGGGUCAUUGGAAACUGGGAAACCUGAGUGCAGAAGAGGAGAGUGGAAUUCCACGUGUAGCGGUGAAACGCGUAGAGAUGUGGAGGAACACCAGUGGCGAAGGCGACUCUCUGGUCUGUAACUGACGCUGAGGAGCGAAAGCGUGGGGAGCGAACAGGAUUAGAUACCCCUGUAGUCCCUGUCUCUUAUAC
rnacentral:rRNA from 1 species